CAGCCUAGUUUGUGGAUUUUUAAAUUUCAGAACCAGGAAGACAGCGCUUCCAGCAACCGGUUUGUGCUCCCCAACUCUGUCACACCCCCUUACUGACAUUUGCACGGGUGACCGCGGCCUACGGGUCGUACCAGGACGCCAACAUUCCCUUUCCUAGGACUUCUGGGGCCAGGUUCUGUAGAGCAGGUUACCUGGUGUAUUUCACAAGGCCCAUGACGAUGCAUCGGGCGGUGCCUCCCACAGAGCCUACUCCGAGAUAAUCUAGUGCAGCAGAUAGGAGUGUGGAUUUCAGAGCCAGACUGCUGGGUCCAAAUUUUGGCCCUGUCAUUUUAUGACCUUGAGCAAGUUAUCUUAACUUCAGCUUCAGUUUCUUCAACAGUAACAUGGGGAUGAUUGUAGCACCUACCACCUGCAGUUGCUGGGAAGAUUAAGUUCCUAUAAAAACAUUUUAAAGGCUGGGU